UAGAAGGCAUCAUUCAAAUACAAAAUGCACAGAACAAAAGUGUAGGCAAGUGCUUUCCUAUCACACGCUGAAUCGGGAUGGAUUGCAUGGCGAAAGAAAUUUGGUUACUUACAACUUUUAGGCUGAUGCAGCAUGCUCAAUUAAAUCCAUAAACUUUGCUAGUGUUGGCUGCUCUUUUGCGACUACAUCCAGUGCAUUCCAUCCACGAACUGAGCGUGGGAAGAAAGAAUAACGAAACAUAUUAUCAAUAAACGGAUAUUCUACAAGUUCGCAUGCAUGCCGUCUUUUGGUCGGUCUGGUAUCAUGAAAUUUAAAGUACGAGUCGGGGUUUAUACGGAAUGAUCUAUGCAAUAGUUGGUAUAAAAAUUUGAGCCGAAAAAGCUUUGCGCGACUUUCAAGGGUAGCUAGACCAGCACGCUGUAAUAGAGCAGUAGGUGAAUCAAGGCGUCCGUAUCUGUUAAAGAUAAAACGCACCGCUUUCCAAAAUGGCGAUAUCGUUAGCAGUGUGAGGGAACCAGACAGUACUGGUGUAUUCUAAGACUGGGCGGAAAAAAGUGACGUAUGCAAGAAGCUUUGUUUCAUGUGUAGAAUAUGACAAGGCCCGUUUAAUGAACAGUUUAUUGCUUUGACACUUGACGCACGUGCUCUGUCCAGCUGAGAUUAGACGAUAUUAUGAGACCUAGAUAUUUAUACUGGUUUACACUUCGAAGUGUGACAUCGUUAAAGUGGUAUGGAAAAUAAAGCUUAGACGGUUUAUUUGUAAUGGACAUGAAUACGGUUUUAUCAAUGUUUAUUGUCAUUUGCCAAUCUACGCACCGUUGAGCCAUUUCAUUCAAGGCAUUGCGGUGUCGUGCUUCAUUAUAGAGCAUGCAGUCAUCAGCAAAGAGCCUGAGUUUCACAGCAUAAUUAGUUAUGUCAUUUAUAAAUAUUAAAAACAAAACUGGAGCUAAUACAGAUCCCUGGGGAACGCCUGAUAACACUGGAGCAAGGUCGGAGGAGUGAGAGCCGCACUGUACAAAUUGGUAGCGGCCAGUUAAUUAGUAAUCCAUUGGUAAAUUGGGCCGUCCCCUUAUAUGUAAUUAAGUUUAAGAGUAGUUUAGUGAGCGAGACGCACUCAAAAGCCUUCGAGAAGUCAAGAAAAAUGACGUCAGUUUGAAUGCGCUCGUUAAUGCCGAAGGCCAGGUCAUGCAGUGUUUCGACAAGCUGUGUAUAACAGUGGAUAAUUCUGAUCUAAAGCCAUGCCGAUUCAUGUGGAGGAUAUUGUUCGACUCAAUAAAACUUAUCAAAAGUUGUAAUACAAUGUGCUCUAGAAUUUUGCUGCAAGUGUAAGUGAUAGCAAUAGACCGAAAAUUAGGCGACGCUGCAUUGCCCGAUCUUCGAGUACGGGGGUAAUAUUUGCAAUUUUCCAUUCAGCAGGAAGGCAAGUCUUUCAAACAUUUGGAAUAUAUGAGAUAAAGAUAUUUGCUGAUUGGCUCCGCGCACCAUUUCAAAAAGCUAUUGGCAAUUGCGUCUGGACCGCUACUUUUCUUUUCAUUGAUGCCUAAUAGGAGUGAAAGGAUACCUGUCUCUGAUAAAUUAGGCGUGCCUAGCAAUCGGUUAUCCUGAUUGUAAAAGGAAGGAUUCAUUUUCGCAGUACCAUUAUCAGUUGUGAAAACCGAACAAAAAUAGUCGUUAAAAUCAUGAGCUCUAGCCUGAUCUAGCGCAUCUGGUGAAGCGGGUAUUCAGAACAUUGCCAAACCAAACCUAUAAUACAAUUCAGUUCUCCCCUACUACUACUAUUGCUUCCAUAGAAUAAGUGUCGUUACUCAAAGAGGAAAAAGAUGUUGCAUCAUAUUGCUUCAAGUAAACUGAGCGGGCAAUUACGAUAAAGGAUUAAUGUGUAUUCGCUAUAAAAGCAGUCGAAUAAUGUAAACUACUGCAGCAGAGCAGUUCUUGCGAUUGUGGCAUCUGCGCCUUUGAAAGGUGUCUUGAAACCAGCAAUAAUAAAGACAAUCCCACUGAAACGUUUCUGCCUUCUUGCUCUCAUUAUAGGCGGCCAAGAUGCACUGCUUGUUCUUUGGUCAAACAAUAAAUCGUAGCAUCGAAAUAUCCGAUCUCGCGAACACUGAACGACAGAAAAAUAAUAAAUCGGAAUAGCAUGCAAACUAGAAUUAGCCCUCAAAUUCCCGUUAACCUGAAUGUUGUAAAAUGGGCAGCGCAUAACCUUGUUUCUCCGACCAAUAUUUAGCAGCAACUUGAAAACUAGCAAUACUAAAGAAAAUCCUCCUGAAAAAUUUUGUCUUCUUGCUUUUUCCUUCGUCUGCUUUCAUUACAGGCGACAAGGAGAUAGGCCGUGAGUACCUUGGUCAAAUCAUGGCAUUAAAAUCUCCCGAAGAUUGAAGUACAGAAGAAUUAUCAAUCAGAAUAGCACGCGAUCGGCACCCUAGAAUACAUGCUAAAAGCUCCGCUAGCCAGAACCCUAAGGACUAAAAGGAAGAAGAGAGAGAAGAGGCAAAGAGAAAAAGACGAAUGAUAACAGGAGGAAGAGUAGGCUUUCGCCGAUCACCUCUUGAGAGAGACCCUGUAAUUUUGCGUUUUUGGCUUUGUUGCUUUCAAUACAGGCGGCCAAGAAGCAGCCCAUGAGUGGCUUGGUGAAACAAACCAUGGGAUUGAAAAUCCAAUCUACCGAACACUGAUAGUGCAAAAAAAUAGUGUGAUUGAAUAAUCACACUAGCCCGUGAACAGCACCAUACAUUACGCACUAACAGUUCCACUUAACUGAAUAUUGUAACUGAGCAACGCAUUUUUUUUUCUUCCACCUAUAAUUAGGAGGAGCCUAACUGAAAUCCCACUGAAAAGUUUUGCCUUCUUGCUUCUUUUUCUUGUUUUCAUUACAGGCGGCGAAGCAGGCGCUCGUGAGUACAUUGGGCAAACAAUAUCAUUGCAUUAAAAAUACCCGAAUAUUGAGUCAGAAGAAUAAUAAAUCAGAAUAGCACGCGAGCAGAACCCUAGAGUACGUGUUAAAAGCCACGUCAGCCAGAAUAUUAUAAACUGGGCGUAGCACAACUUUCUUUUUCCCAACUAUAUUUAGGAGGAGCAUAAAAACUAGCAAUAUUACAGAAAAUGCCAGUGAAACAUUUUUCCUUCUUGCUUUUGUUUUCCUGAUUUCAUUACAGGCGGCCACGAGGUCGUUGGUUUGCUGAAAUAAACCAUGGCAUUGAAAAUCCUAUCUAGCGAAUAUUGAAGGGAACGCGAAAAUCAACCUAGAAUAAGCAGUAAAGUGUCCGUUAACCAGGAUCUUGUAAACCGGGCAACGCAUAAAUUUUUUCUAUGCAGCCUAUACUUAGGAGCAGCCUGAAAAUCAGCAAUAGUAAAGAAAAUCCCACUGAAACGUUUUUGCCUUGUUUUUCUUUUCUUUCUUUUAUUACAGGCGGCCAAGACGCUGGCGGCCGUCGGGAAGCCGCCCGUGAGUACCUUCGUCAAACAAACAAUGCCAUUGAAGAUCAAUCUUUCGAAUAUUGAAGGACAGAAAAAUAAAUUACAAAGCCUUCCCUACCGGAUAGUGGGGUUAAGAGAAGCUUGCCCUGCAUGCACCUGGGCUUGGUCACGGACAAGGUGCCGGGUUGCUUCGCCGUCCCGCUCCCUCAUCUCGGGAUCUUCUCGUUGCUGUAGGAUUGCCUGGACCCGGGCGGCACUUAAAAGACACGUUUAUAGCCCGUCGUUAUCGGUGUGCGGACGAGCGUCGUUAUACUUCGGGCGCGUCGGAGCGCAUUGGCCGCGUCCGGUAACGUUGGUGGGGCCAGCGCGUCGAACUAUCGGUCGACCUGUAGACGCUGCUGUGCUAUCGUCAACGUGACGUAACGUGUGCGUGCGUUCACGCUACGUCGGACUGUAUUUCGGGUCUCAGCGGCUGUAUCCGCGUGGGGACGGCGAGCCAUUUCACGGGCGACUUCUCGCCGUCGCACCGUAGGGAAAGGAAUGCAACAAGAGCGGACACUCCUGUAGAGCCCGGCGGCCGAAUUGACUGCAGCGCACCAAGCCGUGGGUGUUAAAACCUGAAGCACACUUCCGAUUUCGGUUUUGUGCGCGCGCGUUUUGAAUACUAGCUAGUGCGCGUCACGCCGGCUCCACUUUUUUUUUUUUGCUUUUUGCAGCAAAUAUAUAUUUAUUAUUUAUUUAAUAAAUAUUUAUUUGCAAAUCAUUUUAUUAAGUAAAAUUGAUUCCGAACGAUC